rnacentral:misc_RNA from 1 species
GAUGAAGAACGCAGCGAAAUGCGAUAAGUAAUGUGAAUUGCAGAAUUCAGUGAAUCAUCGAAUCUUUGAACGCACAUUGCGCCCGCCAGUAUUCUGGCGGGCAUGCCUGUCCGAGCGUCAUUUCAACCCUCGAACCCCUCCGGGGGGUCGGCGUUGGGGAUCGGCCCUUUACGGGGCCGGCCCCGAAAUACAGUGGCGGUCUCGCCGCAGCCUCUCCUGCGCAGUAGUUUGCACACUCGCAUCGGGAGCGCGGCGCGUCCAAUGCCGUAAAACACCCAACUUUCUGAAAUGUUGACCUCGGAUCAGGUAGGAAUACCCGCUGAACUUAAGCAUAUCAAUAAGCGGAGGA